CAGGAGGUAUUCCAGAAACUGGGACUGGCAAAUAUACCAGAUCCGAUGAACACAGUUCAAUUUAGUGUUCUGCUUGGAAAACACACAUUCUGAAAUGUUCAUGUAAUUGAUAGGCGGGGCCAUCCACUUGGGCUGAGUGGGAGCACCUGGGCCCAAUGCUCCCACUCACUACAUAAGCUGCCACCUUGGUCCUCUCAGAGACUUUUUUUUUGGUGCUUUGUUUGGUUCCAUUAUCAAUUUUUCCACCAACACCCGCACACCAUCCCACACAUCCACUCACUGACACGGCUGACUUUACUGCCAUCCACAUCUCUUUUGCAAUUUAGUUUAUUUUGUUGUAAAUAUAUCAGUUAAUUUU